ACCUUUUAGGAGCUAGCCGUCGAAGGUGGGACAGAUGAUUGGGGUGAAGUCGUAACAAGGUAGCCGUAUCGGAAGGUGCGGCUGGAUCACCUCCUUUCUAAGGA
rnacentral:rRNA from 1 species